GUGUACGUGUACGGUUUGUCUUGCAACUUGCUCAUAAUUGUUUUGGUUUCGAUUUUUGAUUCUCUUCUGUGCAUACUGUGUAAGUGCAAGCAUCAAGUGGAUUGUAAAUAUUACAUUUAUUAUAAACUUCUCUGAAAUUUAUAGGUUUUACAAACCUCAUUCCUGGAAUUUAUCGUAUAUAUUUUUCUCUUGGAUUUUUCAAUAUUUUACAGUUUCUAAGAUCUCUGUGUGCAAAGGAAUUUGUGAAACAGUUUUCUGCAAAAAAUUACAUUUAACACUAAAUGGUUUUCCUGGAAACAUGCAGAUCUAAAGCAAUGUCGAAUCAUCAUCACCAUCAAAGUUCCAUGUAUUCAAUGAACUAUGAUUACGACUUUGAUGAUGAUAACGACGACUUUGAAGAUGAUCGAGAUAGAGACAGAGAUGAGAGUGACGAAGACACUGAGGAAGCAAGUGAGUCGGAACUCAGAAAACCCGAAGAGUACACUGAAAUAAAAGAGCAAGUGUAUCAAGACAACUUGGCUAGUCUGAAAAAGCAACUGCAACAGUUGAAAGAUGGAUCUCAUCCAGAGUAUAAUAAGAAGUUGAAGAAGCUUGAGAGCUUGUACAAAGAAAGGCUACGUAUCAACACAACAUGGCGUGAGUUUCUGGUGGAAGUGGUUGAAAAAGAGUAUGUCUACGAGCAGAAAGCAGCUGCUAAGGAACUGGAGGAGAAGAAGGUGGAACUUCGAGCCAGCUUGGUGAUUGACAUGGAGGAAAAGAGAAAGACAAUUGAGAUGGAACGCAUCACGAUGGAGCUGAGCGGUGACACGACCGAGACGAAGCCGGCGAUCACCCGCAAACUGCGACGUCGGCCGCACGACCCGGCACCCACACUGCCUGACAAGCGUCGCGGCGGCGGCAAGAUGGCGUCGCUGCCCGCCCACCUCAACUACCUGCUCGACGAGAAGGAGAUCGAACUCGACCUGAAGAUCAUGAGUCGAGUCAAGACCAUUCCGCCCAACCGCAAGCCAACUUCCAGUGCCACUGCCAAUGAAAGCUGUAGCAAGAGGAUGGCGAGAGAAAAAGGUUCCGAUAGCAAGCUUGAUGGCAGGCAUGCAAGAGACGAUAAAGUUAACCUACCAGCUCAAAUACCUUCAGUUGGUUCUGUCCUUUCUGAUUGUAACCUACCUGAUACGAGGAUCGAAGAUGGCAAGCUUCUCUAUGAGAGGAGAUGGUUCCAUCGAGGCCAGCCAGUCUAUGUGGAGGGGAAGGACAUGAACAGGUUUGCUGCAAUUAUUUCAGCAAUUGGAACUGAAUCUAGAUGGAAUGAUAAUCAUGGAUACCAGAGAUAAAAAUGUCCUAAAAAGGAUGAAAAUGCCGCUUCAGCUGGAAGAAUGACUUGCAGCUGGUGAUUUGGGUGAAGAAAACAUCCGAUGCUUCCAAAGUGAAAAUUUACUUGUCUCAACUCAGCCGAGGGAGAGUUUCCAUCAAAAGGAGGGCGGCAUCAUAAGAUUUUCCUACCACAAAGCUCCAUUAUGAUAUUUUUAAUAAUUUAUGUUUUAUAAAAAAUAAACAGUGGAAAC